rfam:Picea glauca, whole genome shotgun sequence.
ACAAAAGGGUAAAAUCUCAUUUGAUUUUGAUUUUCAGUACGAAUACAAACCGUGAAAGCGUGGCCUAUCGAUCCUUUAGACUUUCGGAAUUUGAAGCUAGAGGUGUCAAAAAAGUUACCAUAGGGAUAACUGGCUUGUGGCAACCAACCGUUCAUAGCGAUGUUGCUUUUUGAUCCUUCGAUGUCGGCUCUUCCUAUCAUUGUGAAGAAGAAUUCACCAAGUGUUGGAUUGUUCACCCACCAAUAGGGAAUGUGAGCUGGGUUUAGACCGUCGUGAGACACGUUAGUUUUACCCUACUGAUGAACCGUGCUGCAAUAGUAAUUCAACUUAGUAUGAGAGGAACCAUUGAUUCACACAAUUGGUCAUCGCGUUUGGUUGAAAAUCCAGUGGCGCAAAGCUACCAUGUGUCGGAUUAUGACUGAAUCCCUCUAAGUCAGGAUAUAUGCUAGAAGCGACGCUUGUCACUCCUCGACUGUAUCUUGACUCGUAGUAGGGGUGUCGCUUCAACACCCCCAGUGGCUUGUGUCACUUGUGAACCUCGACUGGGAAGCAUCUCGGUCGGGGUAGCUUUGAAGUUCAAUUUCAAAAGGUCAUUGAGAAGAAUCCUUUGCAGAUGACUUAAAUACGGGAUGGGGUAUUGUAAGUGGCAUAGUGGCCUUAUUGCCAUGAUCCACUGAGAUUUAGCCCUUCGUCGCCUCGAUUCAG